rnacentral:rRNA from 1 species
GACGAACGCUGGCGGCGUGCUUAACACAUGCAAGUCGAACGGUGAAGGGGUCUGCUUUUGUGGGCCCUGGAUGAGUGGCGAACGGGUGAGUAACACGUGAGUAACCUGCCCCCUUCUUCUGGAUAACCGCAUGAAAGUGUGGCUAAUACGGGAUAUUCUGGGUCUGUCGCAUGAUGGGUCUGGGAAAGAUUGCGCCUUUGGGUGUUUUUGGUGGGGGAUGGGCUCGCGGCCUAUCAGCUUGUUGGUGGGGUGAUGGCCUACCAAGGCGGUGACGGGUAGCCGGCCUGAGAGGGUGGACGGUCACACUGGGACUGAGACAAGGCCCAGACUCAUACGGGAGGCAGCAGUGGGGAAUAUUGCAGAAUGGGCGCAAGCCUGAUGCAGCGACGCCGCGUGAGGGAUGGAGGCCUUCGGGUUGUAAACCUCUUUCGCCAGUGAAGCAGGCCUGCUCCUUGUGGGUGGGUUGACGGUAGCUGGAUAAGAAGCGCCGGCUAACUACGUG